UACAGAGGUCCCAAGCGUUGUUCGGAUUCAUUGGGCGUAAAGGGUGCGUAGGCGGUGCCGCAAGUCAGAUGUGAAAUCUCGGGGCUUAACCCCGAAACUGCAUUUGAUACUGCGGUGCUCGAGGACUGGAGAGGAGACUGGAAUUCACGGUGUAGCAGUGAAAUGCGUAGAUAUCGUGAGGAAGGCCAGUGGCGAAGGCGAGUCUCUGGACAGUUCCUGACGCUGAGGCACGAAGGCCAGGGGAGCAAACAGG
rnacentral:rRNA from 1 species